GAGAGAUGGCUGAGUGGUUGAUAGCCCCGGUCUGRAAACYGGUAUAGUU
rnacentral:tRNA from 1 species